rnacentral:lncRNA from 1 species
GUCAAAGGUCUGAGUCAAAGGUCCGGCUGGAACUGAGAAGUUCCCAGCAGACAAAGUGUCCGAGCCCGUACCUGCAGCCAGAUAUUGAUGAUGUUAAGAAGUUCAAGCCAGGCUACCUGGAGGCCACUCUCGAUUGGUUGAGACUUUAUAAGGUACCAGAAGGAAAGCCAGAAAACAAGUUUGCUUUCAAUGGAGAAUUCAAAAACAAGUGUAAAUGUGUACGUGUGUGAUAGCCCUUUCCGAUGCACUCCAGAGGAAGCAAGAUCAUUGGUUGAAUCGGUAAGCAGCCAGUGUACAAGGUGUCUAAUCAUGUAAUCAUGAGAUUACUCACAGAGGAUCUCAAAUAUCCAGCAGUGAAACACAUUAAACCCU